rnacentral:lncRNA from 1 species
UUGUAUCCGUUUCUAAAAAGCUGUACCUUUUUAGACUAUCUCUUAAAAAUACAUUGGAAUUUAGGGUUUUUGGGGUAUUUUUAAGGUUGAACUAAAAUUCUUUCUCGGACAACCAGCUAUCACCAGGCUCGUUAGGCUUUUCACCUCUACCUACAAGUCUUCUCACUAUUUUGCCACAUAGAUGAGUUGGUUCUUUUAAACUGCUCAUAGGUAGCUCGUCUGGUUUCGGGGUAUCUAGCUAAAGUUCUCUUUGUUAGAUUUUUUCUGGUUAAACCAUUAUGCAAAAGGUAGAAGGGGUAAUCUUUGCUUUUUUUUACUUUUAUUUUAUUCUUUCAUCUUUCCCUUACGGUACUAUCUCUAUAGCGUCAGGAUAAAAAUUUCUAUCUCCUAUACUUUAAUGUUAGGUGAAUGUUUUAUUUUAUUUUGGUGUAUUACCUAAAACAGAUUUUU